rnacentral:rRNA from 1 species
AAUAGAUACCCGGGUAGUCCACGCCGUAAACGAUGAGUGCUAAGUGUUAGAGGGUUUCCGCCCUUUAGUGCUGCAGCUAACGCAUUAAGCACUCCGCCUGGGGAGUACGGUCGCAAGACUGAAACUCAAAGGAAUUGACGGGGGCCCGCACAAGCGGUGGAGCAUGUGGUUUAAUUCGAAGCAACGCGAAGAACCUUACCAGGUCUUGACAUCCUCUGACAACUCUAGAGAUAGAGCGUUCCCCUCCGGGGGGACAGAGUGACAGGUGGUGCAUGGUUGUCGUCAGCUCGUGUCGUGAGAUGUUGGGUUAAGUCCCGCAACGAGCGCAACCCUUGAUCUUAGUUGCCAGCAUUUAGUUGGGCACUCUAAGGUGACUGCCGGUGACAAACCGGAGGAAGGUGGGGAUGACGUCAAAUCAUCAUGCCCCUUAUGACCUGGGCUACACACGUGCUACAAUGGAUGGUACAAAGGGCUGCAAGACCGCGAGGUCAAGCCAAUCCCAUAAAACCAUUCUCAGUUCGGA